rnacentral:rRNA from 1 species
AGUGAACGCUGGCGGUAGGCCUAACACAUGCAAGUCGAACGGCAGCACAGUAAGAGCUUGCUCUUACGGGUGGCGAGUGGCGGACGGGUGAGGAAUACAUCGGAAUCUACUUUUUCGUGGGGGAUAACGUAGGGAAACUUACGCUAAUACCGCAUACGACCUACGGGUGAAAGCAGGGGAUCUUCGGACCUUGCGCGAUUGAAUGAGCCGAUGUCGGAUUAGCUAGUUGGCGGGGUAAAGGCCCACCAAGGCGACGAUCCGUAGCUGGUCUGAGAGGAUGAUCAGCUACACUGGAACUGAGACACGGUCCCGACUCCUACGGGAGGAAGCAGUGGGGAAUAUUGGACAAUGGGCGCAAGCCUGAUCCAGCCAUACCGCGUGGGUGAAGAAGGCCUUCGGGUUGUAAAGCCCUUUUGUUGGGAAAGAAAAGCAGCAGGUUAAUACCCCGCUGUUCUGACGGUACCCAAAGAAUAAGCACCGGCUAACUUCGUG